rnacentral:rRNA from 1 species
AACGAACGCUGGCGGCGGGCCUAACACAUGCAAGUCGAGCGAAGCCUUCGGGCUUAGCGGCGGACGGGUGAGUAACGCGUGGGAACGUGCCCUCUGGUACGGAAUAGCCCCGGGAAACUGGGAGUAAUACCGUAUGUGGUCGAGAGACGAAAGAUUUAUCGCCAAAGGAUCGGCCCGCGUUGGAUUAGGUAGUUGGUGGGGUAAUGGCCUACCAAGCCGACGAUCCAUAGCUGGUUUGAGAGGAUGAUCAGCCACACUGGGACUGAGACACGGCCCAGGCUCCUACGGGAGGCAGUAGUGGGGAAUCUUAGACAAUGGGGGAAACCCUGAUCUAGCCAUGCCGCGUGAUCGAUGAAGGCCUUAGGGUUGUAAAGAUCUUUCAGUGGGGAAGAUAAUGACUGUACCCACAGAAGAAGCCCCGGCUAACUCCGUGCCAGCCGCCGCUGUAAUAC